UACCAUCACCCCGAGUGGUCGGGACGUUUAUUGGGCCUAAAGCCUCCGUAGCCGGUUCUACAAGUCUUCCGUUAAAUCCAACUGCUUAACAGGUGGGCUGCGGAAGAUACUAUAGAGCUAGGAGGCGGGAGAGGCAAGCGGUACUCGAUGGGUAGGGGUAAAAUCCGUUGAUCCAUUGAAGACCACCAGUGGCGAAGGCGGCUUGCCAGAACGCGCUCGACGGUGAGGGAUGAAAGCUGGGGGAGCAAACCGG
rnacentral:rRNA from 1 species